GACGGUUGCGGACACGCGUGACUCCGCUUGGUAUGUGUAGGAUUUUACUUUUUGAAGCCGCUAUGGAGUUGGUCCACUGGUGUACUGGUUGUUGUAAUUUGCGUCGUGUAGUCUUGGCGUAAUGGAGUGUGGAAACCAGUAUGAUGUCGUCAGCGUAGAGAAAGGCAUCACUAAACCGGGGAACAGUUUCUCGAUUCGACACAUCUGCACAGGCCUUGCUUUCGGACGCAGUGACAGCGAACGUCAGUGUUUUGCUGUGCGGUCGGUCGCUAGCUGGAGCAUUUGGAAGGUAAACAUUGGAAAGGAAAGUUUGGAUAAGCUGCAGUGAAGUUGUGCUUGUUUCGAUGGGAAAGAUGAGGCUGUCUGAGCGAAUGGUUCAAAAUAAUCUACUCCCGUACUCGAAGGUGCUGGUUUGCUCACACGACAACGGGUGAGAAUGUGAGACAACGAAACGAGCUUCUGACGGGGCAGCAGCCGUACAAAAGGAAAUAUCUCCAUCUCUCCGUUUGGGACAGUUGCUGCGCGAAAGGACGAAGGCUGUGAAGCAGCACAAUUCCACAACGGCCCGAACGGGUGGUCGUCCCGAGCGUUAUUUGUUUUAUUGACAGAAAACCUACCUCAGCGAAUGCCGAACAACAAUCUGCACCUGUACUCGAAAGUGCUGGUGGCUCACACGACAACGGGCGAGAAACGUCCCGUACCUGUGUGUCAACGGCUAGAGUGGGAAUAUCCGGUCACGCUGAACAUGUCCAGCUUAAGCUUCGGCACCGGUCCAAACGAUCA